UACGGGGGGGGCAAGCGUUGUUCGGAAUUACUGGGCGUAAAGGGCUCGUAGGUGGCCAACUAAGUCAGACGUGAAAUCCCUCGGCUUAACCGGGGAACUGCGUCUGAUACUGGAUGGCUUGAGUUUGGGAGAGGGACGCGGAAUUCCAGGUGUAGCGGUGAAAUGCGUAGAUAUCUGGAGGAACACCGGUGGCGAAGGCGGCGUCCUGGACCAACACUGACACUGAGGAGCGAAAGCUAGGGUAGCAAACGGG
rnacentral:rRNA from 1 species